UACAGAGGGUGCAAGCGUUAAUCGGAAUUACUGGGCGUAAAGGGUGCGUAGGUGGUUAAAUAAGUUAUGUGUGAAAGUCCUGGGCUUAACCUGGGGAUUGCGCCUAAUACUGUUUAGCCAGAGUACUGUAGAGGAAGGUGGAAUUUCCGGUGUAGCGGUGAAAUGCGUAGAUAUCGGAAGGAACAUCAGUGGCGAAGGCGACUUUCUGGACAGAUACUGACACUGAGGCGCGAAAGCGUGGGGAGCGAACAGG
rnacentral:rRNA from 1 species